rnacentral:rRNA from 1 species
AGGAUGGGCCCGCGUCCCAUUAGCUGGUUGGUGAGGUAAAGGCCCACCAAGGCAACGAUGGGUAUCCGGCCUGAGAGGGUGAACGGACACAUUGGGACUGAGAUACGGCCCAAACUCCUACGGGAGGCAGCAGCUAAGAAUCUUCCGCAAUGGACGAAAGUCUGACGGAGCGACGCCGUGUGAAUGAAGAAGGCCGAAAGGUUGUAAAAUUCUUUUGCAGAUGAAGAAUAAGAAGAAGAGGGAA